CCCUUAGAGUUUGAUCAUGGCUCAGGAUGAACGCUAGCGGCAGGCUUAACACAUGCAAGUCGAGGGGUAACAUGAGUGCUUGCACUUGAUGACGACCGGCGCACGGGUGCGUAACGCGUAUACAAUCUGCCUUUUGCUGUGGGAUAGCCCAGAGAAAUUUGGAUUAAUACCGCAUAGUAUAUAUGAGUGGCAUCACUUAUAUAUUAAAGAUUACGGCAAAAGAUGAGUAUGCGUUCUAUUAGCUAGAUGGUGUGGUAACGGCACACCAUGGCAACGAUAGAUAGGGGCCCUGAGAGGGGGAUCCCCCACACUGGUACUGAGACACGGACCAGACUCCUACGGGAGGCAGCAGUGAGGAAUAUUGGACAAUGGGCGAGAGCCUGAUCCAGCCAUGCCGCGUGCAGGAAGACUGCCCUAUGGGUUGUAAACUGCUUUUAUACAGGAAGAAACACCUCUACGUGUAGAGGCUUGACGGUACUGUAAGAAUAAGGAUCGGCUAACUCCGUGCCAGCAGCCGCGGUAAUACGGAGGAUCCAAGCGUUAUCCGGAAUCAUUGGGUUUAAAGGGUCCGUAGGUGGAUAAUUAAGUCAGAGGUGAAAUCCUGCCGCUCAACGGUAGAAUUGCCUUUGAUACUGGUUAUCUUGAGUUAUUAUGAAGUAGUUAGAAUAUGUAGUGUAGCGGUGAAAUGCAUAGAUAUUACAUAGAAUACCAAUUGCGAAGGCAGAUUACUAAUAAUUAACUGACACUGAUGGACGA
rnacentral:rRNA from 1 species